rnacentral:tRNA from 1 species
UAGAAAAACAAAAACGAUAGGUCCCACCGAGAUUUGAACUCGGGUCGCAGGAUUCAGAGUCCUGAGUGCUAACCGCUACACCAUGGAACCGACGGU